GACCAUGUGAAUUCUUCCAUGCUCAGCACCAGGUCCCAUAUUAUCUUGGAAGCUAUGCUGGGCCAGCCCUGGGUGGUAGCUGGAUGGGAGACUACUAAUGAAUCCCAGGUGCUAUAGGCC
rnacentral:rRNA from 11 species